GAGACUUUUACACCUUUAAUGUGGCUGACAUAACAGAUCCAGAAAGUUUUUACUGUGUGAUUGAAAAUGCUCUCGGUAAUCAGACGUCAUCGCCAAUUCCUGUGAACAAAGCAGAUGAACUGAGGACUGAACUCGUCUUCAAAACACUGAUGAUCCUUCAGGUUGUAUCUCUCUACUGUACAAUCGUCAUCUUUGAGUGCUGGUUCAGAUGGAGACAUUACCGCAAACAAGUGAAGGACUCACCAGAAGCAGAUGACGUCAAAGUGAUUGAAAGUCCAGCAUAAUGGGCCACAAGGAGAAAAUCAAGACGUUAAAUCCAUCAUCAGUGACCUGCUUUAUUAAUUCUGAUCAU